AAGGAAGAAAUAAGAACAAUUCACAACGUAUUUGGCAUUAUAGAAGAAUCAGAAGAUAUGUAAUUCUAGGUAAUCAUCGAGAUGCAUGGACAUUCGGUGCUGUUGAUCCAAACAGUGGUACUGCAGCCUUAUUAGAGCUUACAGAACGGCUAGGAAAGCUACAGAAACAAGGAUGGAGACCUAGACGAACCAUCGUUUUCUGCAGUUGGGAUGCCGAGGAAUAUGGAUUGAUAGGAUCAACAGAAUGGGUUGAAGAAAACAGGGAAACCUUAAUUUCGAGAG